rnacentral:rRNA from 1 species
AACAUUUUUUAACCAAGUAGAGGCGAUCAAAUAGUAAAUAAGAGCUUUAACACAAGUACCGCAAGGGAAAGAUGAAAUAAAAAUGAAAUAGACCUUAAGCACCACAAAGUAGAGACAAACCCUCGUACCUUUCGCAUCAUGGUCCAACUAGCAUAACCAAGCAAAAUGAAUUUUAAGUUUGACCCCCCGAAACUAGACGAGCUACUUCGAAACAGCCUUAUGGGCCAACCCGUCUCUGUCGCAAUAGAGUGGGAAGAUUUCCAAGUAGAAGUGAUAUGCCUACCGAGUCUAGAGAUAGCUGGUUAUUCAGGAAAAGGAUAUUAGUCCAACCUUAAGCUUCCCAACACACAGUAUGCACCAAUAAACUUAAGUUUUAUUCAAAUAAGGUACAGCCUAUUUGAAACAGGAUACAGCCUCUAAUACUGGGUAAUGUCUUAACAUGUGAUUAAGUAGGCCUAAAAGCAGCCAUCUUUCAAAAAGCGUCACAGCUUCACCACACCAACCACCAAUUCCAACCCCCACUCAAAACCCGCCCCUCCCCUACUGAAUGACUCCAUACCACUAUGGAAAACCUCAUGUUAGAACUAGUAACAAGAACCCAUUCUCCUAAGUCCAGUGUAACCCGAAUGAGCAGCCCCCCGGCAUCUAUCGCCAAUGAACCUGCAGUAAAAACCAUCUACAAGAAAACCCUACUCCUUAAAAGCGUUAACCUUACACCAGAGCCUUCCAGGAAAGAUUAAAAAAGGGGGAAGGAACUCGGCAAAUAUAGACCCCGCCUGUUUACCAAAAACACCGCCUUAUGUAGCUAAUAUAAGGUCCAGCCUGCCCAGUGAUAAACUUAAACGGCCGCGGUAUUUUAACCGUGCAAAGGUAGCAUAAUCACCUGUUCUUUAAAUGAGGACUUGUAUGAACGGCAUCACGAGGGCCUUGCUGUCUCCCCCCUUCAAUCAGUGAAACUAAUCUCCCCGUGAAGAAGCGGGGAUACACCUAUAAGACGAGAAGACCCCAUGGAGCUUAAAACUAAGCAUCACCUGCAAUACCACACACCACCCAAACUUAGCAGGCCUGUCUCCUAGUUUUUGGUUGGGGUGACCACGGGGUAAAACAAAACCCCCGUGACGAAAAGAGCCUACCUCCUAAUUAAAGAACCACAACUCGCAAAAUCAACAUAUUGACUUAAUUGACCCAAUACCUUGAACAACGAACCAAGUUACCCUGGGGAUAACAGCGCAAUCCACUUCAAGAGCCCCUAUCGACAAGCGGGUUUACGACCUCGAUGUUGGAUCAGGGUAUCCCAGUGGUGCAGCCGCUACUAAAGGUUCGUUUGUUCAACGAUUAAAACCCU